GUGCCAGCCGCCGCGGUAAUUCCAGCUCCAAUAGCGUAUAUUAAAGUUGUUGCAGUUGAAAAGCUCGUAGUUGAACCUUGGGCCUGGCUGGCCGGUCCGCCUCACCGCGUGUACUGGUCCGGCCGGGCCUUUCCUUCUGGGGAACCUCAUGCCCUUCACUGGGCGUGUUGGGGAACCAGGACUUUUACUUUGAAAAAAUUAGAGUGUUCAAAGCAGGCCUUUGCUCGAAUACAUUAGCAUGGAAUAAUAGAAUAGGACGUGUGGUUCUAUUUUGUUGGUUUCUAGGACCGCCGUAAUGAUUAAUAGGGAUAGUCGGGGGCAUCAGUAUUCAAUCGUCAGAGGUGAAAUUCUUGGAUUGAUUGAAGACUAACUACUGCGAAAGCAUUUGCCAAGGAUGUUUUCAUUAAUCAGUGAACGAAAGUUAGGGGAUCGAAGACGAUCAGAUACCGUCGUAGUCUUAACCAUAAACUAUGCCGACUAGGGAUCGGACGGUGUUAGUAUUUUGACCCGUUCGGCACCUUACGAGAAAUCAAAGUUUUUGGGUUCUGGGGGGAGUAUGGUCGCAAGGCUGAAACUCAAAGAAAUUGACGGAAGGGCACCACCAGGCGUGGAGCCUGCGGCUUAAUUUGACUCAACACGGGGAAACUCACCAGGUCCAGACACAAUAAGGAUUGACAGAUUGAGAGCUCUUUUCUUGAUUUGUGGGUGGUGGUGCAUGGCCGUUCUUAGUGUGAGUGAUUUGUCUGCUUAUUGCGAUAACGACGAGACUUACUGCUAAAUAGGCAGGCCGCUUGGCGGUCGCGGCUUCUUAGAGGGACUUAUCGGCUCAAGCCGAUGGAAGU
rnacentral:rRNA from 1 species